rnacentral:rRNA from 1 species
ACACUUUACAAUGCGGGAAACCGCGAUAAGGGAACCCCGAGUGCCAGCAUCAAAUGUUGGCUGUCCAGAUGAUUAAAAAUCAUUUGUUAGCAAGGGCCGGGCAAGACCGGUGCCAGCCGCCGCGGUAACACCGGCGGCCCGAGUGGUAGCCGUUUUAUUGGGUCUAAAGGGUCCGUAGCCGGCCUGAUAAGUCCUUUGGGAAAUCUGGCAGCUUAACUGUCAGGCUUCUAAGGGAUACUGUCAGGCUUGGGACCGGAAGAGGUAAGGGGUACUCCAGGGGUAGGAGUGAAAUCUUGUAAUCCCUGGGGGACCAUCUGUGGCGAAGGCGCCUACCAGAACGGGUCCGACGGUGAGGGACGAAAGCUAGGGGAGCAAACCGGAUUAGAUACCCGGGUAGUCCUAGCUGUAAACGAUGCUCGCUAGGUGUCAGACACGGUGCGACCGUGUUUGGUGCCGCAGGGAAGCCGUUAAGCGAGCCACCUGGAAGUACGUCGCAAGGC